GGUAGUGUGGCCGAGCGGUCGAAGCCGCUGGGUUUAAGCUCCAGUCUCGAACGAGGUGUGGGUUCGAAUCCCAUCACUACCA